rnacentral:rRNA from 1 species
GUGGGGAAUAUUGCGCAAUGGGGGGAACCCUGACGCAGCAACGCCGCGUGAGUGAAGAAGGUUUUCGGAUCGUAAAACUCUGUCAUUAGGGAAGAAACAAAUGACGGUACCUAAUGAGGAAGCCCCGGCUAACUACGUGCCAGCAGCCGCGGUAAUACGUAGGGGGCGAGCGUUGUCCGGAAUUACUGGGCGUAAAGGGUGCGUAGGCGGCCGAUUAAGUCAGAUGUGAAAUACCAGGGCUCAACCUUGGGGGUGCAUUUGAAACUGGUUGGCUUGAGUGCAGGAGAGGAAAGUGGAAUUCCUAGUGUAGCGGUGAAAUGCGUAGAGAUUAGGAGGAACACCAGUGGCGAAGGCGACUUUCUGGACUGUAACUGACGCUGAGGCACGAAAGCGUGGGUAGCGAACAGG